CAGGGUAUUAGUGGAUCUCCUGGCGGACCAGGAAGAGAUGGACCAGUUGGACAGAGGGGCCUGCCUGGGAAGGAUGGACCACAAGGACAGCAGGGUACUACAGGGCCCGUUGGCAGUCCUGGGGCCCCGGGGCCCCUGGUGGAAGUGGAUCUCCUGGACCCCUGGGAGACCAGGGACCACCUGGCUCUGCUGGUACCAAAGGAGACAAGGGUGAACGGGGAGUCCUGCAGUCUCAAGCUACCGUCAGGGCCUUAGCACGCCAAGUGUGUGAGCAACUGAUUCAGAGUCACCUGUCUCGCUACAGCUCCAUCCUGAACCAGAUCCCCAGCCAGUCAGUGUCUGUGAGGACGGUACCAGGACCUCCAGGAGAGCCCGGUCGCAGGGGUCUGCCAGGGCCACAGGGAGAGGGGGGCCCCACAGGCAGACCAGGGUUCCCUGGGACCAACGGACAGGAUGGACGACCGGGGGAGAGAGGUACAGUACGGUGUUUAUACAUCAUUAU